UUACCAGAGUACUAUGAAUUCUUCAAAAUUUAAAACUCAAAGAACUUGGCGGUGUUUUAGACCACUUAGGGGAACCUGUCUCAUAAUCGACGAUCCACGUUUUACCUGACCCUUUUUUGUUUUCAGCCUGUAUACCGUUGUCGUCAGGUAACUUUUUAGAAUUUAAAAGUUAGCUAUAUAAAGUGUAAUUUAGUACGUCAAAUCAAGGUGCAGCUUAUAAUAGGGGGAGGAUGGGUUACAAUUAUUUAUUUAUAAUUUACGGAAUAUUGUGUGAAUUAGCGAUAUAAAGGAGGACUUGAAAGUAAAUUGGAUUAUAUAAGCAAUUUGAAUAAGGCUCUGAAACGUGU
rnacentral:rRNA from 1 species